GUUUUGGAGUGCAGGCGUGAAUAGUCCUUUCUGUCCUGCUUUGAGUACUGCUGUUGGGUGCCUUGGGGGGACCUUAAGGGAGCUCGGAAGUUGAGACGUGGUGAGUGCGAGAUCACUGCCCACAAAGGGGAGGAGCAGGCGGAUGAACAGCCAGAGCUGCAAUGGUGGAUCCUCCUCCAGGGCUGCAUGGGACGACAGAUAGAUGAGGCUCUAGGACGGGCACAAAUGCUACCCGAAUGCAAACCACUCCGGAGAUCUGUAAAAGGACUGGCCCCGGACAGGAAGCACACUUUAAACUAGAGGCGGGAGUCAAAGCCCCGGUGAAGAUUCUGUGACGGUUCAUUGUAUAAUUUAUGAUGAUGAAGAUUGAGUUGCAUUUUGCGGAAAAGAGAUGUUGAGAUAUCUAAGGCAUUGAGAAAUCUGUCAUGCAGACAUGCACACAGGGAGAGGGAGUACCCAAACUGAUGAGAACUUACAGGAAUUGGACCAUCUAAGCCCUUAGAAAGUGAAGUCCACUGUGUCUCAAACAAAGGAUGGCAAGUGUUCAUGACAUCAAUACUACCCAAGGCUUCAGAGUCAUUGGAUUGCAGGAUGCAGUGACUUAUGAUGAUGUGCGUGUGAACUUCACUGAGGAAGAGUGGGAUUUGCUGGAUCCUUCCCAGAAAAGUCUCUAUGAAGAGGUGAUGCUAGAGACAUACCAGAACAUCACUGCUAUAGGUAAGACUGAAUUUCCUCUUGCUUUUCUGAAUAAGGGACAAAUAUUUCUUUGUUAUUGAUCCUCUGUUGUUUCAAUUGAAGAGGAGGAAGAAUGAGCUCAAAUGCUACCCGAAUGCAAACCACUCCCGAGAUCUGUAAAAGGACUGGCCCCGGACAGGAAGCACACUUUAAACUAGAGGCGGGUAAGAAUCCUGGGCCAAUCAAGGCUUCUGGGCGGAACUGCCAUUCAGACAAUGAGGCGUGGUCUUCCAGUUGCCUGCUGGAAGUUUGUUUUUGCGCUGCAGGAUGGAACUAUUCUCUGUAUCCUGCUUUGAGCACUGCUAUUGGGUGCUGUGAGGGGACCUCAAGUAAGCUCCAUUUUUGAAACAUGAUCUUCAUCCACAUCUUGAAGUUUGAAGUUUGGCCAAGAAUAUACAGAGUAGAUUCUCUUUCUCAGGAUGGCAAGUGUUCAUGACAUCAAUACUACCCAAGGCUUCAGAGUCAUUGGAUUGCAG
rnacentral:lncRNA from 1 species